rnacentral:rRNA from 1 species
AUUGAACGCUGGCGGCAUGCCUUACCCUUGCAAGUCGAACGGCAGCACGGGAGCAAUCCUGGUGGCGAGUGGCGAACGGGUGAGUAAUAUAUCGAAACGUGCCCAGUCGUGGGGGAUAACGUAGCGAAAGCUACGCUAAUACCGCAUACAAUCUAUGGAUGAAAGCGGGGGAUCGCAAGACCUCGCGCGAUUGGAGCGGCCGAUAUCAAAUUAGGUAGUUGGUGGGGUAAAAGCCUACCAAGCCUUCGAUCUGUAGCUGGUCUGAGAGGACGACCAGCCACACUGGAACUGAAACACGGUCCAAACUCCUACGGGAGGCAGCAGUGGGGAAUUUUGGACAAUGGGCGCAAGCCUGAUCCAGCAAUGCCGCGUGCAGGAUGAAGGCCUUCGGGUUGUAAACUGCUUUUGUACGGAACGAAACGGCUUUUUCUAAUAAAGAGAGCUAAUGACGGUACCGUAAGAAUAAGCACCGGCUAACUACGUG